GGGGGUGCUGUUGGUACAGCGCCCGAUCUCCGAAAUCUGGCGUGGGAGUUCAAUUCUCCUCACCUCCAC
rnacentral:tRNA from 15 species